GGUCAAGCUACAAAGGGCGCAUGGUGAAUGCCUUGGCAUCAGGAGCCGAUGAAGGACGUGAUAAGCUGCGAUAAGCUUCGGGUAGGCGCACAUAGCCUGAGAUCCGAAGAUCUCCGAAUGAGGAAACUCACAUGGGAAACCCCAUGUAUCAUUAAGUGAAUACAUAGCUUAAUGAAGGUAACCCAGGGAACUGAAACAUCUAAGUACCUGGAGGAAGAGAAAGAAAAAUCGAUUUUCUUAGUAGCGGCGAGCGAAAGGGAAAGAGCCCAAACCGGAAACUUGUUUCCGGGGUUGUGGACAGAACAUAACUAUUGGUAGGACGUAAUCGAAGAGAACUGGAAAGUUCCACCGUAGAAGGUAAUAGUCCUGUAGAUGAAACGGGAAAUCAAUUAGUUCUGAUCCAGAGUACCACGAGACACGUGAAACCUUGUGGGAAGCAGGGAGGACCACCUCCCAAGGCUAAAUACUACCUGAUGACCGAUAGUGAAGCAGUACCGUGAGGGAAAGGUGAAAAGAACCCCGGGAGGGGAGUGAAAUAGAACCUGAAACCGUGUGCCUACAACCGCUCAGAGCCCCUUAUGAGGGUGAUGAGGUGCUUUUUGUAGAACGAGCCAACGAGUUACGGUAUGUAGCAAGGUUAAGUACUUAAGGUACGGAGCCGAAGGGAAACCGAGUCUGAAUAGGGCGACUAGUUGCAUGCCGUAGACCCGAAACCGGGUGACCUAUCCAUGGCCAGGUUGAAGCGAGGGUAAAACCUCGUGGAGGACCGAACCACGUUGCUGUUGAAAAAGCAUGGGAUGAGCUGUGGAUAGCGGAGAAAUUCCAAUCGAACCCGGAGAUAGCUGGUUCUCUCCGAAAUAGCUUUAGGGCUAGCGUCGAGUAUGAGUAGUGGAGGUAGAGCACUGAAUGGGCUAGGGGGCAUAGCGCUUACCGAACCUUAUCAAACUCCGAAUGCCACAUACUUUGAGCUCGGCAGUCAGACUACGAAUGAUAAGAUCCGUGGUCAAAAGGGAAACAGCCCAGAUCGUCAGCUAAGGUCCCAAAGUGUAAGUUAAGUGGGAAAGGAUGUGAGAUUUCUAAGACAACUAGGAUGUUGGCUUAGAAGCAGCCAUUCAUUAAAAGAGUGCGUAAUAGCUCACUAGUCGAGAGAUCUUGCGCCGAAAAUGUAACGGGGCUAAACUUACCACCGAAGCUACGGGCUUGAACUUAGUUCAAGCGGUAGGAGAGCGUCGUAACCGGGCUGAAGUCGUACCGUAAGGAGCGGUGGACUGGUUACGAGUGAGAAUGUUGGCAUCAGUAGCGAGAUGUGGGUGAGAAUCCCACAGGCCGAAAACCUAAGGUUUCCUCAGGAAGGUUCGUCCGCUGAGGGUUAGUCGGGACCUAAGCCGAGGCCGAAAGGCGUAGGUGAUGGACAACUGGUUGAUAUUCCAGUACCACUACCAUCGUUAUUAUCGAUGGCGUGACGCAGGAGGAUAGUGUGUGCUAGCUAUUGGAUGCUAGUCUAAGCGUUUAGGCAGUGAGAGUAGGUAAAUCCGCUCUCAUAAUGCUGAGGCGUGAUGGGGAAGGUUCCACGGAACCGAAGUACAUGAUUCCACGCUGCCAAGAAAAGCGUCUAGAGAGAGAAGUAGUGCCCGUACCGCAAACCGACACAGGUAGGUGAGGAGAGAAUCCUAAGGCCGGCGGAAGAAUUACAGUUAAGGAACUCGGCAAAUUGACCCCGUAAGUUCGCGAGAAGGGGUGCCUACGAGAGUAGGCCGCAGAGAAUAGGCCCAAGCAACUGUUUAGCAAAAACACAGGUCUCUGCUAAAGCGUAAGCUGAUGUAUAGGGGCUGACGCCUGCCCGGUGCUGGAAGGUUAAGGGGAACACUUAGCGCAAGCGAAGGUGUGAACUUAAGCCCCAGUAAACGGCGGCCGUAACUAUAACGGUCCUAAGGUAGCGAAAUUCCUUGUCAGGUAAGUUCUGACCCGCACGAAUGGCGUAAUGACUUGGGCACUGUCUCAACUGUAAAUCCGGCGAAGUUGUAGUGCGAGUGAAGAUGCUCGCUACCCGCGAUUGGACGGAAAGACCCCGUAGAGCUUUACUGUAGCUUAGCAUUGAGUUUUGGUAUUGUCUGUACAGGAUAGGUGGGAGACUAGGAAACCAGGGCGUCAGCCUUGGUGGAGUCAACCUUGGGAUACCACCCUGACAGUACUGAAAUUCUAACUGGCGGCCAUGAAUCUGGUCACAGGACAUUGUUAGGUGGGCAGUUUGACUGGGGCGGUCGCCUCCUAAAAAGUAACGGAGGCGCCCAAAGGUUCCCUCAGAACGGUCGGAAAUCGUUCGAAGAGUGCAAAGGCAGAAGGGAGCCUGACUGCGACACCCACAAGUGGAGCAGGGACGAAAGUCGGGCUUAGUGAUCCGGUGGUACCUCGUGGGAGGGCCAUCGCUCAACGGAUAAAAGCUACCUCGGGGAUAACAGGCUGAUCUCCCCCAAGAGUCCACAUCGACGGGGAGGUUUGGCACCUCGAUGUCGGCUCGUCGCAUCCUGGGGCUGAAGUAGGUCCCAAGGGUUGGGCUGUUCGCCCAUUAAAGCGGCACGCGAGCUGGGUUCAGAACGUCGUGAGACAGUUCGGUCCCUAUCCGUCGCGGGCGUAGGAAAUUUGAGAGGAGCUGUCCUUAGUACGAGAGGACCGGGAUGGACUGACCUCUGGUGUACCAGUUGUUCCGCCAGGAGCACAGCUGGGUAGCUAAGUCGGGAAUGGAUAAACGCUGAAAGCAUCUAAGCGUGAAGCCAACCUCAAGAUGAGAUUUCCCAUAGCGUAAGCUAGUAAGAUCCCUUGAAGAACACAAGGUUGAUAGGUCGGGGGUGUAAGCAUGGUAACAUGUUCAGCUGACCGAUACUAAUAGAUCGAGGGCUUGACCAAAUA
rnacentral:rRNA from 1 species